GUGUAAAGCUCCUUAUCGCAAGAGUCUAAACUACAUUGAUGCUCCUAGUCCACAAGAGCUUAAAAGGUGAAUGACAAGAAAAAAAAAACACACAAUUGAACUACAUUAUGACUUGAUCUCUAUGUUAUAAAAAGGAUACGUAGGCAGCUUAAAAUUUACUUUAAUUUCAAUCACACGAAAAAAAAAGGUAUUAUGUUUCUUCGUGAUGAUGUAAUCUCAACAGAAAAUGAAAUUCAUGAGCAGAUACAAUGAAAAAGAAAGGGGGCAAAGUCAAAGUAGCAAGCUCUACAUUUUCUCCUAAGUGUUGCGACUGAGAGGAUCUUCUUCUCCUAUGUGUUGCGGCUGAGAGGGUCUUCAUCUUCAUCUUCUUCCAUGUGUUGCAGUCGAGAGGGUCAUCUUCUUCACCUUCGACGUGUUACGGCUGAAAGGAUUCAUCAUCAUCUUCUCUCAUGUGUAACAGUCAAGAUGAUUCAUCUUUAUCUUCUCCCAUGUGCCACAGUCGAGGUCAUUCGCAUCUUCGAUGUGUCGCUGUCGUCAUCAUCUGCAUCUUCGAUGUGUCGCAACCGUCAUCAUUUGCAUCUUCGACGUG
rnacentral:lncRNA from 1 species